rnacentral:rRNA from 1 species
UACGUAGGGCGCGAGCGUUAUCCGGAAUUAUUGGGCGUAAAGAGCUCGUAGGCGGUUUGUCACGUCUGCUGUGAAAACUGGAGGCUCAACCUCCAGCCUGCAGUGGGUACGGGCAGACUAGAGUGCGGUAGGGGAGAUUGGAAUUCCUGGUGUAGCGGUGGAAUGUGCAGAUAUCAGGAGGAACACCGAUGGCGAAGGCAGAUCUCUGGGCCGUAACUGACGCUGAGGAGCGAAAGCAUGGGGAGCGAACAGG